GGUUAAGCGACUAAGCGUACACGGUGGAUGCCCUGGCAGUCAGAGGCGAUGAAGGACGUGCUAAUCUGCGAAAAGCGUCGGUAAGGUGAUAUGAACCGUUAUAGCCGGCGAUGUCCGAAUGGGGAAACCCAGUGUGAUUCGUCACACUAUCGUUAACUGAAUACAUAGGUUAACGAGGCGAACCGGGGGAACUGAAACAUCUAAGUACCCCGAGGAAAAGAAAUCAACCGAGAUUCCCCCAGUAGCGGCGAGCGAACGGGGAGCAGCCCAGAGUCUGAAUCAGCUUGUGUGUUAGUGGAACGGUCUGGAAAGUCCGACGGUACAGGGUGAUAGUCCCGUACACCAAAAUGCACAGGUUGUGAACUCGAAGAGUAGGGCGGGACACGUGGUAUCCUGUCUGAAUAUGGGGGGACCAUCCUCCAAGGCUAAAUACUCCUGACUGACCGAUAGUGAACCAGUACCGUGAGGGAAAGGCGAAAAGAACCCCGGCGAGGGGAGUGAAAAAGAACCUGAAACCGUGUACGUACAAGCAGUGGGAGCACCUUCGGGUGUGACUGCGUACCUUUUGUAUAAUGGGUCAGCGACUUAUAUUCUGUAGCAAGGUUAACCGUAUAGGGGAGCCGCAGGGAAACCGAGUCUUAACUGGGCGUUAAGUUGCAGGGUAUAGACCCGAAACCCGGUGAUCUAGCCAUGGGCAGGUUGAAGGUUGGGUAACACUAACUGGAGGACCGAACCGACUAAUGUUGAAAAAUUAGCGGAUGACUUGUGGCUGGGGGUGAAAGGCCAAUCAAACCGGGAGAUAGCUGGUUCUCCCCGAAAGCUAUUUAGGUAGCGCCUCGUGAACUCAUCUUCGGGGGUAGAGCACUGUUUCGGCUAGGGGGUCAUCCCGACUUACCAACCCGAUGCAAACUACGAAUACCGAAGAAUGUUAUCACGGGAGACACACGGCGGGUGCUAACGUCCGUCGUGAAGAGGGAAACAACCCAGACCGCCAGCUAAGGUCCCAAAGUCAUGGUUAAGUGGGAAACGAUGUGGGAAGGCACAGACAGCCAGGAUGUUGGCUUAGAAGCAGCCAUCAUUUAAAGAAAGCGUAAUAGCUCACUGGUCGAGUCGGCCUGCGCGGAAGAUGUAACGGGGCUAAACCAUGCACCGAAGCUGCGGCAGCGACACUAUGUGUUGUUGGGUAGGGGAGCGUUCUGUAAGCCUGCGAAGGUGACCUGUGAGGGUUGCUGGAGGUAUCAGAAGUGCGAAUGCUGACAUAAGUAACGAUAAAGCGGGUGAAAAGCCCGCUCGCCGGAAGACCAAGGGUUCCUGUCCAACGUUAAUCGGGGCAGGGUGAGUCGACCCCUAAGGCGAGGCCGAAAGGCGUAGUCGAUGGGAAACAGGUUAAUAUUCCUGUACUUGGUGUUACUGCGAAGGGGGGACGGAGAAGGCUAUGUUAGCCGGGCGACGGUUGUCCCGGUUUAAGCAUGUAGGCUGGUUGUCCAGGCAAAUCCGGAUAAUCAAGGCUGAGGUGUGAUGACGAGGCACUACGGUGCUGAAGUAACAAAUGCCCUGCUUCCAGGAAAAGCCUCUAAGCAUCAGGUAACAUCAAAUCGUACCCCAAACCGACACAGGUGGUCAGGUAGAGAAUACCAAGGCGCUUGAGAGAACUCGGGUGAAGGAACUAGGCAAAAUGGUGCCGUAACUUCGGGAGAAGGCACGCUGGUGUGUAGGUGAAGUCCCUGCGGAUGGAGCUGAGACCAGUCGAAGAUACCAGCUGGCUGCAACUGUUUAUUAAAAACACAGCACUGUGCAAACACGAAAGUGGACGUAUACGGUGUGACGCCUGCCCGGUGCCGGAAGGUUAAUUGAUGGGGUUAUCCGUAAGGAGAAGCUCUUGAUCGAAGCCCCGGUAAACGGCGGCCGUAACUAUAACGGUCCUAAGGUAGCGAAAUUCCUUGUCGGGUAAGUUCCGACCUGCACGAAUGGCGUAAUGAUGGCCAGGCUGUCUCCACCCGAGACUCAGUGAAAUUGAACUCGCUGUGAAGAUGCAGUGUACCCGCGGCAAGACGGAAAGACCCCGUGAACCUUUACUAUAGCUUGACACUGAACAUUGAGCCUUGAUGUGUAGGAUAGGUGGGAGGCUUUGAAGCGUGGACGCCAGUCUGCGUGGAGCCAACCUUGAAAUACCACCCUUUAAUGUUUGAUGUUCUAACGUUGGCCCCUGACCGGGGUUGCGGACAGUGUCUGGUGGGUAGUUUGACUGGGGCGGUCUCCUCCCAAAGCGUAACGGAGGAGCACGAAGGUUAGCUAAUCCUGGUCGGACAUCAGGAGGUUAGUGCAAUGGCAUAAGCUAGCUUGACUGCGAGCGUGACGGCGCGAGCAGGUGCGAAAGCAGGUCAUAGUGAUCCGGUGGUUCUGAAUGGAAGGGCCAUCGCUCAACGGAUAAAAGGUACUCCGGGGAUAACAGGCUGAUACCGCCCAAGAGUUCAUAUCGACGGCGGUGUUUGGCACCUCGAUGUCGGCUCAUCACAUCCUGGGGCUGAAGUAGGUCCCAAGGGUAUGGCUGUUCGCCAUUUAAAGUGGUACGCGAGCUGGGUUUAGAACGUCGUGAGACAGUUCGGUCCCUAUCUGCCGUGGGCGCUGGAGAAUUGAGGGGGGCUGCUCCUAGUACGAGAGGACCGGAGUGGACGCAUCACUGGUGUUCGGGUUGUCAUGCCAAUGGCACUGCCCGGUAGCUAAAUGCGGAAGAGAUAAGUGCUGAAAGCAUCUAAGCACGAAACUUGCCCCGAGAUGAGUUCUCCCUGAGACUUUAAGUCUCCUGAAGGAACGUUAAAGACGAUGACGUUGAUAGGCCGGGUGUGUAAGCGCAGCGAUGCGUUGAGCUAACCGGUACUAAUGAACCGUGAGGCUUAACCUU
rnacentral:rRNA from 1 species